UCCGGCUUAUCACCGGCGGUUUCUUUAGAGUGCCCAACUAAAUGAUGGCAACUAAAGACGAGGGUUGCGCUCGUUGCGGGACUUAACCCAACAUCUCACGACACGAGCUGACGACAGCCAUGCAGCACCUGUAUUAGGCUCCCCGUCUAAGGGGUUCGUUACCGUUUCCGGCUUCUACUACCUAACGCUUUCGCGCAUGUCAAGUCCAGGAUAAGGUUCUUCGCGUAGCCUCGAAUUAAGCCACAUGCUCCACCGCUUGUGUGAGCCCCCGUCAAUUUCUUUGAGUUUCAGCCUUGCGACCAUACUCCCCAGGCGGGGUACUUAGCACUUUAGCUUCGGCAGUAAACCCAUAUCUAGUCUACUACCUAGUACCCAUCGUUUAGGGCUAGGACUA
rnacentral:misc_RNA from 1 species